CCUACGGGAGGCAGCAGUGGGGAAUCUUGCGCAAUGGGCGAAAGCCUGACGCAGCGACGCCGCGUGGGGGAAGAAGGCCUUCGGGUUGUAAACCUCUUUCAGCAGGGACGAAGCCACUCGGGUUAAUAGCCCAGAGGGUGACGGUACCUGCAGAAGAAGCCCCGGCUAACUACGUGCCAGCAGCCGCGGUAAUACGUAGGGGGCAAGCGUUGUCCGGAUUUAUUGGGCGUAAAGAGCGUGUAGGCGGCCAGACAAGUCCGUUGUGAAAACUAGAGGCUUAACCUCUAGACGUCGAUGGAAACUGUUUGGCUAGAGUCCGGAAGAGGAGAAUGGAAUUCCUGGUGUAGCGGUGAAAUGCGCAGAUAUCAGGAAGAACACCCGUGGCUAAGGCGGUUCUCUAGUACGGUACUGACGCUGAGACGCGAAAGCGUGGGGAGCGAACAGGAUUAGAUACCCUGGUAGUCCACGCCGUAAACGAUGGGUGCUAGGUGUGGGGGUGUCGACUCCCUCCGUGCCGAAGCUAACGCAUUAAGCACCCCGCCUGGGGAGUACGGCCGCAAGGCUAAAACUCAAAGAUAGUAGGCGUGNGAGAGCGACGACGACGACGACGGAGGAGGAG
rnacentral:rRNA from 1 species